rnacentral:rRNA from 1 species
UACCAGCACCCCCGAGUGGUCGGGACGAUUAUUGGGCCUAAAGCAUCCGUAGCCGGUUUUACAAGUCCUCCGUUAAAUCCAGCUGCUUAACAGAUGGGCUGCGGAGGAUACUAUAAGACUAGGAGGCAGGAGAGGCAAGCGGUACUCAGUGGGUAGGGGUAAAAUCCGUUGAUCCAUUGAAGACCACCAGUGGCGAAGGCGGCUUGCCAGAAUGCGCUCGACGGUGAGGGAUGAAAGCUGGGGGAGCAAACCGGG